rnacentral:tRNA from 1 species
GUGGUUGUGGUUCAGAGGUAGAACACUCGCCUGGCAUGCAUGAGGCACUGGGUUUGAUCCUCAGCACCACG